GGCUUAGAGUUUGAUCCUGGCUCAGAUUGAACGCUGGCGGCAGGCCUAACACAUGCAAGUCGAGCGGUAGAGAGAAGCUUGCUUCUCUUGAGAGCGGCGGACGGGUGAGUAAUGCCUAGGAAUCUGCCUGGUAGUGGGGGAUAACGUUCGGAAACGGACGCUAAUACCGCAUACGUCCUACGGGAGAAAGCAGGGGACCUUCGGGCCUUGCGCUAUCAGAUGAGCCUAGGUCGGAUUAGCUAGUUGGUGAGGUAAUGGCUCACCAAGGCGACGAUCCGUAACUGGUCUGAGAGGAUGAUCAGUCACACUGGAACUGAGACACGGUCCAGACUCCUACGGGAGGCAGCAGUGGGAAAUAUUGGACAAUGGGCGAAAGCCUGAUCCAGCCAUGCCGNUGUGUGUGAAGAAGGGUCUUCGGAUUGUAAAG
rnacentral:rRNA from 1 species